UGGUGGAGCGAUUUGUCUGGUCAAUUCCGAUAACGAACGAGACUCUAGCCUACUAAAUAGUUCGGGGACCCCCACAAAGGGGCCCCGCUUCAACUUCUUGGAGGGACAGGUGGCGUUUAGCCACACGAGAUUGAGCAAUAACA
rnacentral:rRNA from 1 species